rnacentral:rRNA from 1 species
UACGUAGGGGGCAAGCGUUGUCCGGAUUUAUUGGGCGUAAAGAGCUCGUAGGCGGUUCCGUAAGUCGAGUGUGAAAAAUCUGGGCUCAACCCAGUGGAGCACUCGAUACUGCGGUGACUGGAGUACGGUAGAGGAGUGUGGAAUUUGUGGUGUAGCGGUGAAAUGCGCAGAUAUCAGGAGGAACACCGGUGGCGAAGGCGGGUCUCUGGGCAGUAACUGACGCUGAGGAGCGAAAGCGUGGGGAGCGAACAGG